rnacentral:misc_RNA from 1 species
GAUGAAGAACGUAGCGAAAUGCGAUAAGUAAUGUGAAUUGCAGAAUUCAGUGAAUCAUCGAAUCUUUGAACGCACAUUGCGCCCGCCAGUAUUCUGGCGGGCAUGCCUGUUCGCGCGUCAUUUCAACCCUCAAGACCCCUUCGGGGGACUUGGUGUUGGGGACCGGCACAGGGGCCUGCCUGCUUGUCUUGCAGCGCCCUCGCCGCCCCCGAAAUGAAUUGGCGGCCUCGUCGCGGCCUCCCCUGCGUAGUAGCACAAACCUCGCAACGGGAACGUGACGGCGGCCACUGCCGUAAAACAACCCAAUUUUAUUAGAGUUGACCUCGAAUCAGGUAGGAAUACCCGCUGAACUUAAGCAUAUCAAUAAGCGGAGGA